UGCAUAUCAAAAAGCUGAGGAAAAGAAACCAACAGGGAUUGCCCCAGUAGCGGCGAGUGAAGCGGCAAGAGCUCAGAUUUGAAAUCGUGUUUCGGCACGAGUUGUAGAGUGUAGGCGGGAGUCUCUGUGGAGCGCGGUGUCCAAGUCCCUUGGAACAGGGUGCCUGAGAGGGUGAGAGCCCCGUAGGGUGCUGCGCGAAGCUUUUGAGGCCCUGCUGACGAGUCGAGUUGUUUGGGAAUGCAGCUCCAAGCGGGUGGUAAAUUCCAUCUAAGGCUAAAUAUUGGCGAGAGACCGAUAGCGAACAAGUACUGUGAAGGAAAGAUGAAAAGCACUUUGAAAAGAGAGUGAAACAGCACGUGAAAUUGUUGAAAGGGAAGGGUAUUGGGCUCGACAUGGGGGGUGCGCACCGCUGUCUCUUGUAGGCGGCGCUCUGGGCGCCCUCUGGGCCAGCAUCGGUUCCUGCUGCGGGAGAAGGGGCUCCGGAAAGUGGCUCUUCGGAGUGUUAUAGCCGGGGCCAGAUGCCGCGUGUGGGGACCGAGGACUGCGGCUUCUGUCUCGGAUGCUGGCAUAACGGCGCAAUACCGCCCGUCUUG
rnacentral:rRNA from 1 species